rnacentral:sRNA from 1 species
AGCUCUCUCAGUUGCUCCGGACUCGGAGCAAGCAGCUUCCACGCUGUCAUACACACGAGGCACUUGAGGCCAGUCGUAGUCCCCACCCAUCUCUUCUUGGAUAUGUUUCCCUGUGAAUAAGAUUGAUGAAUUAAAUACCAAGAAACAAAAGGCAUGUGAAACUGUUGAACCUUCCUGCUAGCCUCCGGCCACACAAAAUGAAAAGCUUGCUGGGUCAGAAUGUGUCAACCAAAAGUCCUUUCAUCUAUUCACCAAUUAUCGCACACAACCGUGGAGAAGAGCGGAACAAGAAAAUAGAUUUCCAGUGGGUUCAAGGAGAUGUGUGUGAAGUUCAGCUGAUGGUGUAUAACCCAAUGCCGUUUGAACUUCGAGUUGAAAACAUGGGGCUGCUCACCAGCGGAGUGGAGUUCGAGUCUCUCCCUGCGGCGCUUUCUCUUCCGGCUGAAUCUGGUCUGUACCCAGUGACGCUCGUCGGGGUCCCGCAGACGACUGGAACAAUUGCUGUGAACGGUUACCAUACCACGGUCUUCGGUGUGUUCAGUGAC